CUCAAAUGUUUUGGCUGAAACGAUUAAAAACCUAUUAAAAAUUUGUGAGCGAAGAGAGGAGCAAUCAAGCUUAAUUUAACUUAAGUUUGACUGUUAGUUCUACUUUGACCACUGGUACCCCACAGAGUUCAACUGAAAGAGAUCAAAGUUCCCCAAAAAAUGAUGUGGAAGCCAACCAAGAGAGCAGUUUGGUGAUAUUAUGGCUUGCUGCAGUGGGUGUGGCUUCUGGAGUGGGUGUGUUCCUGGUGGGAUUGACAGUUGUUCGUCUCUGUAAGAAGACCAAAAGAAAGAAAUCUCAGAGACCUCCAGCCCAACAAGACAAUCAUGACCAACGUCCUGUUGGAGAGAAUGGAGAAUCAUCUGAAUAUGUCAAUUUUGAUACAUACCAGGAGUACUAUUCAAUCCAGCCUCAGCCCAAUGGCUUUCUGUAGAUAGUCUUCAAAGGUUUUAGUAUAGUUAAAUGUUCUAUUAUUAUUCUUUAUUCAAUCUCUUUGGAUUUGAAAUUGUCCACUUAUGUGCGAAAGUAUUAUCCAUAUUGGAUGAACAAUUUUAAAAUGACAAUGUUUUGUACAUAUUUCCUCCAUUAGGGUGCCAUAUGUAUUUCAACUGUUAUCUUCAAAACUGUUUCUUAUUAGAUUGUUUUUGAUUGCUUGUAUUAAAAGUGCAUAUCCAGCAG
ensembl:lncRNA